rnacentral:rRNA from 1 species
CAGUAGCCGCGGUAAUACGUAUGUCGCGAGCGUUAUCCGGAAUUAUUGGGCAUAAAGGGCAUCUAGGCGGCCGGAUAAGUCUGGGGUGAAAACUUGCGGCUCAACCGCAAGCCUGCCCUGGAAACUAUGCGGCUAGAGUACUGGAGAGGUGGACGGAACUGCGCGAGUAGAGUUGAAAUUCGUAGAUAUGUACAGGAAUGCCGAUGAUGAAGAUAGUUCACUGGACGGUAGCUGACGCUGAAGUGCGAAAGCUAGGGGAGCAAACAGGAUUAGAUACCCGCGUAGUCCCUGUCUCUUAUAC